rnacentral:rRNA from 1 species
GACGAACGCUGGCGGCGUGCUUAACACAUGCAAGUCGAACGGAAAGGCCCUGCUUUUGUGGGGUGCUCGAGUGGCGAACGGGUGAGUAACACGUGAGUAACCUGCCCUUGACUUUGGGAUAACUUCAGGAAACUGGGGCUAAUACCGGCUAGGAGCUCCUGCUGCAUGGUGGGGGUUGGAAAGUUUCGGCGGUUGGGGAUGGACUCGCGGCUUAUCAGCUUGUUGCUGGGGUAGUGGCUUACCAAGGCUUUGACGGGUAGCCGGCCUGAGAGGGUGACCGGCCACAUUGGGACUGAGAUGCGGCCCAGACUCCUACGGGAGGCAGCAGUGGGGAAUAUUGCACAAGGGGCGGAAGCCUGAUGCAGCAACGCCGCGUGCGGGAUGACGGCAAUCGGGUUGUAAACCGCAGCCGCCUGUGACGAAGCGUGAGUGACGGUAAUGGGUAAAGAAGCACCGGCUAACUACGUG